rnacentral:rRNA from 1 species
CACGUAGGGCGCGAGCGUUGUCCGGAAUUAUUGGGCGUAAAGAGCUCGUAGGCGGCCUGUUGCGUCCGCUGUGAAAGCCCGGGGCUUAACCCCGGGUCGGCAGUGGAUACGGGCAGGCUAGAGGUAGGUAGGGGAGAAUGGAAUUCCUGGUGUAGCGGUGAAAUGCGCAGAUAUCAGGAGGAACACCGGUGGCGAAGGCGGGUCUCUGGGCCGUAACUGACGCUGAGGAGCGAAAGCAUGGGGAGCGAACAGG